rnacentral:rRNA from 1 species
UGGGGAAUAUUGGACAAUGGGCGAAAGCCUGAUCCAGCCAUGCCGCGUGUGUGAAGAAGGUCUUCGGAUUGUAAAGCACUUUAAGUUGGGAGGAAGGGCAGUAAGCGAAUACCUUGCUGUUUUGACGUUACCGACAGAAGAAGCACCGGCUAACUCUGUGCCAGCAGCCGCGGUAAUACAGAGGGUGCAAGCGUUAAUCGGAAUUACUGGGCGUAAAGCGCGCGUAGGUGGUUCGUUAAGUUGAAUGUGAAAGCCCCGGGCUCAACCUGGGAACUGCAUCCAUAACUGGCGAGCUAGAGUAGGGCAGAGGGUGGUGGAAUUUCCUGUGUAGCGGUGAAAUGCGUAGAUAUAGGAAGGAACACCAGUGGCGAAGGCGACCACCUGGGCUCAUACUGACACUGAGGUGCGAAAGCGUGGGGAGCAAACAGG